rnacentral:rRNA from 1 species
AAAAACAUGUCCUUUUGUUAUUAAAAUAUAAGGUCUAACCUGCCCAAUGAUGAUUAUUAAAUGGCCGCGGUAUUUUAACUGUGCUAAGGUAGCAUAAUCACUUGUCUUUUAAUUAAAGGCUAGAAUGAAUGGUUGGACGAAGUACGGCCUUUCUUUAAUUUAAUUUAUUGAAUUUAAUUUUUUAGUUAAAAAGCUAAAAUGUAUUUGAGGGACGAGAAGACCCUGUAGAUCUUUAUAUAUUUUUAUAUUACAUAUUUUAGUUAAUUUAAUUAUUGUUGAUAUAUUUAUAUAUUUGGUUGGGGCGACUAUAGAAUGUAACAAACUUCUAUUAAAUGUUAAUUUCAUUAAUAUUUGUAUUUUUGAUCCACUAUUAUUGAUUAAAAAAUUAAGUUACCUCAGGGAUAACAGCGUAAUUUCUUUGGAGAGCCCUUAUCGAUAAAGAAGUUUGCGACCUCGAUGUUGGAUUAAAGUAAGUAAUGGGUGCAGAAGUCCAUUAACUAGGUCUGUUCGACCUUUAAUUUUUUACAUGAUCUGAGUU